UACAGAGGUGUCAAACGUUGUCCGGAAUUACUGGGCAUAAAGCGCACGUAGGCGGUCCGUUAAGUCAUGUGUGAAAUCCCCCGGCUCAACCGGGGAAUUGCGCCUGAUACUGGCGGGCUAGAGGUCGAUAGGGGUGAGUGGAACUCCAGGUGGAGCGGUGAAAUGCGUAGAUAUCUGGAGGAACACCGGUGGCGAAAGCGGCUCACUGGAUCGAAACUGACGCUGAGGUGCGAAAGCGUGGGGAGCAAACAGG
rnacentral:rRNA from 1 species